GACGAACGCUGGCGGCGUGCUUAACACAUGCAAGUCGAACGGAAAGGCCCUGCUUUUGUGGGGUGCUCGAGUGGCGAACGGGUGAGUAACACGUGAGUAACCUGCCCUUGACUUUGGGUUAACUUAAGGCAACUGGGGCUAAUACCGGAUAGGAGCUCCUGCUGCAUGGUGGGGGUUGGAUAGUUUCGGCGGUUGGGGAUGGACUCGCGGCUUAUCAGCUUGUUGGUGGGGUAGUGGCUUACCAAGGCUUUGACGGGUAGCCGGCCUGAGCGGGUGACCGGCCACAUUGGGACUGAGAUACGGCACAGACUCCUACGGGAGGCAGCAGUGGGGAAUAGUGCACAAUGGGCGGAAGCCUGAUGCAGCAACGCCGCGUGCGGGAUGACGGCCUUCGGGUUGUAAACCGCUUUCGCCUGUGACGAAGCGUGAGUGGCGGUAAUGGGUAAAGAAGCACCGGCUAACUACGUG
rnacentral:rRNA from 1 species